ACGCGAAGAACCUUACCUGGGUUCGAAAUGCAGGUGCAAACCUCAGAGACGAGGUCCCCUCUUCGGAGGCGCCUGUAUAGGUGCUGCAUGGCUGUCGUCAGCUCGUGUCGUGAGAUGUUGGGUUAAGUCCCGCAACGAGCGCAACCCUUGUCCAUAGUUGCUAACGCGUAGUGGCGAGAACUCUAUGGAGACUGCCGGUGAUAAACCGGAGGAAGGUGGGGAUGACGUCAAGUCCUCAUGGCCUUUAUGUCCAGGGCUACACACGUGCUACAAUGGGCGGUACAAAGAGUUGCGAUCCCGCAAGGGGGAGCUAAUCUCAAAAAGCCGCUCUCAGUUCGGAUUGCAGUCUGCAACUCGACUGCAUGAAGCUGGAAUCGCUAGUAAUCGCGGAUCAGCACGCCGCGGUGAAUACGUUCCCGGGCCUUGUA
rnacentral:rRNA from 1 species